UAGAAUCAAGUGACUAAGCGUAUGUGGUGGAUGCCUAGGCGGUAAGAGGCGAUGAAGGACGUUGUAGCAUGCGAUAAGCCCCGGUUAGUCUGCAAACAGACAUUGAUCCGAGGAUUUCCGAAUGGGGAAACCCGGCACCAUAAGGUGUCAUCCCUAACUGAAUACAUAGGUUAGGCGAAGCAAACCCGGAGAACUGAAACAUCUAAGUACCCGGAGGAAAAGAAAUCAACCGAGAUUCCCCAAGUAGCGGCGAGCGAAAGGGGAGCAGCCGAGCAAUAUAGUUAUAGAAGAACACUCUGGAAAGUGUGACCAUAGUGGGUGAUAGUCCCGUAUUUGAAAUAACUUUAUUGACGUAUUAAGUAGGUCGGGGCACGAGAAACCUUGACUGAAGAUAGGGGGACCAUCCUCUAAGGCUAAAUACUCCUUACCGACCGAUAGUGAACCAGUACUGUGAAGGAAAGGCGAAAAGAACCCCGGAGAGGGGAGUGAAAUAGAACCUGAAACCGCAUACGUACAAGCAGUGGGAGCCUCCUUUGAGGGGUGACUGCGUACCUUUUGUAUAAUGGGUCAGCGACUUAAUUUUAGUAGCAAGGUUAACCGUUAGGGGAGCCGUAGGGAAACCGAGUCUUAAUAGGGCGUUUAGUUGCUAGGAUUAGACCCGAAACCGAGCGAUCUAUCCAUGGCCAGGUUGAAGGUGCCGUAACAGGCACUGGAGGACCGAACCCACGUAUGUUGAAAAAUGCAGGGAUGAGCUGUGGAUCGGAGUGAAAGGCUAAUCAAGCUCGGAGAUAGCUGGUUCUCCUCGAAAUCUAUUUAGGUAGAGCCUCGUAUAUAACUCCUGGGGGUAGAGCACUGUUAUGGCUAGGGGGCCCUGACCGGCUUACCAACCCAUUGCAAACUCCGAAUACCAGGAAGUUCAGUACGGGAGACACACGGCGGGUGCUAACGUCCGUCGUGGAAAGGGAAACAACCCAGACCGCCAGCUAAGGUCCCAAAAUUACAGCUCAGUGGGAAACGAUGUGGGAAGGCAUAGACAGCUAGGAGGUUGGCUUAGAAGCAGCCAUCCUUUAAAGAAAGCGUAAUAGCUCACUAGUCGAGUCGGCCUGCGCGGAAGAUUUAACGGGGCUAAGCUGUAUACCGAAGCUGCGGAAUUACAAUUUAUUGUAAUUGGUAGAGGAGCGUUCUGUAAGCCGUUGAAGGUGGUGUCGUAAGGCCUGCUGGAGGUAUCAGAAGUGCGAAUGCUGACAUGAGUAACGAUAAGACGGGUGAAAAACCCGUCCGCCGAAAACCCAAGGUUUCCUGCGCAACGCUAAUCGGCGCAGGGUUAGUCGGAUCCUAAGGCGAGGCCGAAAGGCGUAGUCGAUGGAAAACAGGUUAAUAUUCCUGUACCGCUAUUAUAUGCGAUGGGGUGACGGAGAAGGCUAGACCAGAACACAGUUGGUUUUGUGUAUCUAAGCGUUUAGGUGUAGGACUUAGGCAAAUCCGGGUCCUUUUAACACUGAUGCGUGAAUGCGACGAUCUUACGAGAUUGGAGUGGUCGAUGCCAUGCUUCCAGGAAAACCCUCUAAGCUUCAGUAUAAUAGUGUCCGUACCCCAAACCAACACAGGUGGGUGGGAUGAGAAUUCUAAGGCGCUUGAGAGAACUCUGGUGAAGGAACUAGGCAAAAUGGUACCGUAACUUCGGGAGAAGGUACGCCCCCUGCGGUUCACGCUGCGGGGGGCCACAGAAACUAGGUGGCUGCGACUGUUUAACAAAAACACAGCACUCUGCAAACUCGAAAGAGGACGUAUAGGGUGUGACGCCUGCCCGGUGCCGGAAGGUUAAUUGAUGGGGUUAUCUUCGGAGAAGCUCUUGAUCGAAGCCCCGGUAAACGGCGGCCGUAACUAUAACGGUCCUAAGGUAGCGAAAUUCCUUGUCGGGUAAGUUCCGACCUGCACGAAUGGCGUAACGACGGCCACACUGUCUCCACCAGAGGCUCAGUGAAAUUGAAAUCGCGGUUAAGAUGCCGUGUACCCGUGGCUAGACGGAAAGACCCCGUGCACCUUUACUACAGCUUUGCACUGAACAUUGGGCCUACUUGUGUAGGAUAGGUGGGAGACUUUGAAACCGGGACGCUAGUUCUGGUGGAGUCAACCUUGAAAUACCACCCUGGUAUGUCUGAUGUUCUAACCCAGUUCCCUUAUCGGGAUCGGGGACAGUGUAUGGUGGGUAGUUUGACUGGGGCGGUCUCCUCCUAAAGAGUAACGGAGGAGCGCGACGGUUCGCUAAUCCCGGUCGGAAAUCGGGAGGUUUGUGCAAAGGCAAAAGCGAGCUUGACUGCGAGACUGACACGUCGAGCAGGUACGAAAGUAGGUCUUAGUGAUCCGGUGGUUCUGUAUGGAAGGGCCAUCGCUCAACGGAUAAAAGGUACGCCGGGGAUAACAGGCUGAUACCGCCCAAGAGUUCAUAUCGACGGCGGUGUUUGGCACCUCGAUGUCGGCUCAUCACAUCCUGGGGCUGAAGCAGGUCCCAAGGGUAUGGCUGUUCGCCAUUUAAAGUGGUACGCGAGCUGGGUUCAGAACGUCGUGAGACAGUUCGGUCCCUAUCUGCCAUGGGCGUUAGAAUCUUGAGGGAAGCUUCUCCUAGUACGAGAGGACCGGAGUGGACGAACCUCUGGUGUACCUGUUGUCACGCCAGUGGCAUAGCAGGGUAGCUAAGUUCGGACGGGAUAAACGCUGAAAGCAUCUAAGCGUGAAGCCCCUCCCAAGAUGAGGAUUCUCUGGGGACUAGAUCCCCCUAAAGGGCCGUUGAAGACUACGACGUUGAUAGGCACCAUGUGGAAGUUCAGUAAUGAAUGUAGCUAAGGUGUACUAAUUGCCCGUGAGGCUUGAUUCUA
rnacentral:rRNA from 1 species